UAUAUUUUGGUGUAAGGUGCACAAGAAGUUUUGAUCUUCUAAGGUAUAGUUUAAUUCUAUAAAAUAUAA
rnacentral:tRNA from 1 species